ensembl:lncRNA
GCCACAUGAAGAGAAGUAUUGAUGCCAAAUUCAUUGCUGCUAAUACUGGAAUGAGAGCCUCAACACAGCCAUCCUUCUGCAACAAAGAGACACGGCAACGCAGAGUUCACUGUAGACGCUGUGACUUGUGAAGAUAUGGUCUUUGCCUGGCACUUCCUGGCAUACUUAUCUCCAAUAUGUGCUCACUCAGCAACAAAAUGGGCAAAUUGAAACUACUGGAUGACAAAGGACUUUUCAGCCACACCUUCUGUCUUAGCUAGGUGUGUUUAAAUUAAGCUACUCCCAAUGCCACGGUGGAGCUACAUGGCUUUUCGUUGUGCAGAGUGGACAAUGAAUCCACUCUCAGUCAGAAAACCAAAGGCGGAGGAGUAUGUUUUGUUACAUUAACCACAGGUGGUGCAGGAGCAUAACUGCGCUGGUGUAACAAGUUCUACUGAAGUGGAAACUCAUCAGUUGCAAGCCAUUCUGGUCAGGGUACUAUGUUCUCCCACUUGCAAAGGCCUACUUAGCUCAACAACAGCAGGCUGACCAUGUCAUAUCAUCAUUAGGAAUGACUUCAAAUGUACGAAUCUGGGUGCUGCUUUACCAGAAUAUAAACAGUUGAUCAGCUGCCCCACCAGAGUGUACAAAACAUUUGACCACUGCUACAAGCCCCAUCAAGGAUGCAUACCAGGCUUCCUCCCGUGCCCCUGACCAUUCCCUCAUCCAUCUCAUUCCAACAAUGCAGGAGAUCACCUAAUCAACAGUUUGAAGACUGAGAUCAGCUGAUUAAACGAGAGGCAUUAGGUGUGCUCCAGUGUGUCUGGAGUGAAAACCUGCAGCCACGCUGGUCCUUUGCAGAUACAGUUGGACACACCUGACUUAAGAGAAUGACUGGGAGCAAAUCUGCAAAUAAAAAGCAGGAUGACUACAAUGUUGCGUCCAUAUACGGUACGAAGCUGGCGUCAUGGUGUGGACCUAACCUGGAAUUACAGUGCAGAUGAUCAUUGAUUUCAGAAAGAGACCCACCCCACUGCCUCUACUGGAAAUACACAACUCCACAGGCAGCAGAGCAGAGUCAUAUAA